rnacentral:tRNA from 1 species
GCUCCCUUCGUCUAGCGGUCAGGACGCCGGCCUCUCACGCCGGUAACGGGGGUUCGAUUCCCCCAGGGAGCGCCA